CCUACGGGUUGCACCAGUGGGGAAUAUUGCACAAUGGGCGCAAGCCUGAUGCAGCCAUGCCGCGUGUAUGAAGAAGGCCUUCGGGUUGUAAAGUACUUUCAGCGAGGAGGAAGGCAUCAAGGUUAAUAACCUUGGUGAUUGACGUUACUCGCAGAAGAAGCACCGGCUAACUCCGUGCCAGCAGCCGCGGUAAUACGGAGGGUGCAAGCGUUAAUCGGAAUUACUGGGCGUAAAGCGCACGCAGGCGGUCUGUCAAGUCGGGUGUGAAAUCCCCGGGCUCAACCUGGGAACUGCAUUCGAAACUGGCAGGCUAGAGUCUUGUAGAGGGGGGUAGAAUUCCAGGUGUAGCGGUGAAAUGCGUAGAGAUCUGGAGGGAUACCGGUGGCGAAGGCGGCCCCUGGACAAAGACUGACGCUCAGGUGCGAAAGCGUGGGGAGCAAACAGGAUUAGAUACCCCAGUAGUC
rnacentral:rRNA from 1 species